UUAUACCAGUAACGAUAUAUUGGUUCUCGUUAGAUCACCGGAUCAUUGGGCGCGGUCAGUACUUGGGUGGGUGACCACCUGGGAACACCGCGUGCCGUU